UCCGGUUUGUCACCGGCAGUCUGGCGUGAGUCCCCAACUUAAUGCUGGCAACACGCCACGGGGGUUGCGCUCGUUGCGGGACUUAACCCAACAUCUCACGACACGAGCUGACGACAGCCAUGCACCACCUGUACACGGCCCUUACGGACCCAGCAUCUCUGCUGGUUUUCCGCGUAUGUCAAGCCCAGGUAAGGUUCUUCGCGUUGCGUCGAAUUAAACCACAUGCCCCGCUGCUUGUGCGGGUCCCCGUCAAUUCCUUUGAGUUUUAGCCUUGCGGCCGUACUCCCCAGGCAGGGCACUUAAUGCGUUAGCGCCGGCACGGGAGGAGUCGACACCUCCCACACCUAGUGCCCAUCGUUUACGGCGUGGACUAC
rnacentral:misc_RNA from 1 species